rnacentral:rRNA from 1 species
UACGUAGGGGGCAAGCGUUGUUCGGAAUUACUGGGCGUAAAGGGCGCGUAGGCGGCACGGCAAGUCAGGAGUGAAAGGCCUGGGCUCAACCUGGGAAUUGCUUUUGAAACUGCCGAGCUAGAGUGCGGAAGGGGCAACUGGAAUUCCCAGUGUAGCGGUGAAAUGCGCAGAUAUCAGGAGGAACACCUAUGGCGAAGGCAGCUCGCUGGGACGUUACUGACGCUGAGACGCGAAAGCGUGGGGAGCAAACAGG